rnacentral:rRNA from 1 species
CCCUUAGAUGUCCUGGGCCGCACGCGCGCUACACUGACAUGUUCAACAAGCCUCCUAGUUCGACAGGAUUUGGGAAAUCUUUGAACGCAUGUCGUGAUAGGGAUAGAUCAUUGCAAUUAUUGAUCUUGAACGAGGAAUUCCUAGUAAACGCGAGUCAUCGGCUCGCAUUGAUUACGUCCCUGCCCUUUGUACACACCGCCCGUCGCACCUACCGAUUGAAUGUUUCGGUGAAGAUUCCGGAUAGGACUUUUUUGAUUUAUUUCAAUUCUGUCUUAAAAGCUAUCUAAACCUCAACAUUUAGAGGAAGGUGAGGUCGUAACA